rnacentral:rRNA from 1 species
UGGGGAAUCUUAGACAAUGGGCGCAAGCCUGAUCUAGCCAUGCCGCGUGAGUGACGAAGGCCCUAGGGUCGUAAAGCUCUUUCGCCAGGGAUGAUAAUGACAGUACCUGGUAAAGAAACCCCGGCUAACUCCGUGCCAGCAGCCGCGGUAAUACGGAGGGGGUUAGCGUUGUUCGGAAUUACUGGGCGUAAAGCGCGCGUAGGCGGACUAUUAAGUCAGGGGUGAAAUCCCGGGGCUCAACCCCGGAACUGCCUUUGAUACUGGUAGUCUUGAGUUCGAGAGAGGUGAGUGGAAUUCCGAGUGUAGAGGUGAAAUUCGUAGAUAUUCGGAGGAACACCAGUGGCGAAGGCGGCUCACUGGCUCGAUACUGACGCUGAGGUGCGAAAGUGUGGGGAGCAAACAGGAUUAGAUACCCCCGUAGUCC